AGAAGACUAGUUUAAUUAAAAAUAUUAGAUUGUAAAUCUAAAGAGAAGUUUUUCUG
rnacentral:tRNA from 1 species